UGACCGACUUGCUCUAUGCACGGGUGGAUCCGAGGGUGGCGUAUGAUUGAGGGCAAGGACGGGAAAGACGGGAAGGUCGGGAAGGUGAGGAUUACCCGCUCUUGGUGGAUCCCAGGAAUCUUGCGCCCCCUGCUUGCUCUCUUGAUCCUUCCCGUCCUUCCCGUCAUUCCCGUCCUUCCCGCACAGUCCCUGUCCAAGCGCCUCGAUACUCGCCUGGAUCGGCCACCCUUCAAUCGGCAGCUCUGGGGCGUGGCACUGGUGGACCAGAAUGGGCGGCUGGUCUAUAGCCGGAACGCCGAUCGUCUCUUCAUUCCCGCGAGCAACACCAAGCUGGUCGUCAGCGCCGUGGCCUCGGCACUACUCCCGCCCGACUGGCGGGUGAAGACCAGCGUCUACGGCGGGCCGAUCGUGGGCGGCGUCCUUCUCGGGGACCUGCUGCUCUACGGCCGGGGCGACCCUACCAUGGAUCAACGCUGCUACGGCACCGACUCUACCCUCGCCGGGGUGUGCGACACUGACCCGUUCGCCCGGCUGCGCCAGCUGGCCGAUUCGCUACGAAGCCUGGGCGUGCAGCUGAUCGCGGGAGACGUGGUGGGCGACGGCAGCUACUUUGAGCCCACGUUGGUCCACCCGAAUUGGGAGCAGUUCGAUCUCAACUGGUGGUACGCGGCACCAGUCUCGGGACUCGGCUUCCACGAUAACAGCGUCGAUUUCACCUGGCAGCCGGGCCCGGCGGCGGGCACCCCGGCCAUUAUCUCGAUGAGUCCGGACCUCGGCGACAUCAGCUUCGAGAACCGCACGGUCACGGUGCCGCCCGGCGGGGAGUCGGACAUCGGAGAUCGCUUCUUCCGCCAUCCCGGCACGCUUCAAAUCUGGGCCGAAGGCACCGUGGCCCUCGACAACCCGCGGCGCAUCGAGUCAUUCGCGCUGCCGGACCCGAAUCUGUACGCCGCGCGAGCCCUGCGUCAGGCCCUGGCAGACGCAGGCAUCUCGGUAGCGGGCACUACCCGGUCUACCACCGACUCCACCCUGUAUGCCGGCAUGCGGGCAACCGCGCCGUUGGCCGAGGUCUCCUCCCGCCCACUCCGGGACUGGAUCUUUCCCAUCCUCAACACCAGUCAGAACUGGUUCGCGGAAAUGUUGCUGAAGCAGCUGGGCCGGCAGUUCGGGAGAGGCGGCUCAUGGCCGGAAGGCCUCGAGGUUGAGCGGCGUUUUCUGAUCGAUUCGGUUCGAGUUGAUUCGACCCAGAUCUCCCUAAGCGAUGGGUCCGGUCUCUCGAGCACCAACCUGCUGAGCCCGAUAGCGUUCACCCAGAUACUCCGCUUCAUUCGUGGCCACCCACGCUACUCCACCUUUGCGUCCGGGCUUCCGCAGGCGGGCGCCACAGGCUCGCUCCGCACUCGCUUCGUGGGAACGCCGCUCUCGGGGCGGGUACGGGGAAAAACGGGAAGCAUUUCCCGGGUCAACACCCUCUCGGGAUACAUCGAAUUGGAGCGCGGGAGAUUUCUCACCUUCUCGGUGCAGGCUAAUCACCACGCCCAGUCGGGCCGGGCAAUCCUGGGAGUGAUCGACAGUGUUGUCGUGGAAAUGGCGAAAGGGGUGCGGUGAGAAUACCGAUACGCAGGCGAAGAAGAAGAACGUGAGCGGUGAGCGGUAAACGGGGAUUUUGGUACUGGUGCCGAACCCUGGGCAUGGUGCUCCUUGGGCUGGGGGUCUUUGUUGCGGCGGCACGGCGAGCCGCCAAGCAAGUCAUCGGCACAGAUUUUCACGUGUUCUGGCAGGCGGGAUAUGACUUUCCCCAUGACCUGCCUCUCUACCACUCGCUUCCCGGCGCCCGCCACUUCAACUACCCGCCUUUCGCGGCUCAAGUCUUCCAGACACUCGCCCCUCUUCCCGCUGAAAACGGCGGCGGUGCUUUUCUAUAUCGUGAAUGUCGGACUUAUCCUCCUCGCUGUCUGGGUUUCCCGCGACAUCAUACAGCGGCGGCUACAGCCGGCACGACCGGGGGCUCUGCCGCUGGCCCUGGCGGUUCUCUGCUCUGCCGGAUUCAUGCUGGACAACAUCGCGCACCUGCAGGUGAACCUGUUGACGUUCGUCCUCAUCCUCCUCGGUGUGCAGGCUUUUAUCUCGAAGCGAGAGUUUGCCGCUGGUGGGUGGCUCGUGGCGGCCACCGCCAUCAAGCUCACCCCAGUGUUCUUUCUUGUCUGGACCGUGAUUCGCGGAAGCCGGCGCACUCUCGCCGCCAUCUCCGUGUUCGGUGUGCUCUGCCUGAUGUUGCCGGUUAUUCAACGAGGGCUCGCACAGGGAUCGGAAGACCUGACGGACUAUUAC
rnacentral:misc_RNA from 1 species